rnacentral:rRNA from 1 species
GACGAACGCUGGCGGCGUGCUUAACACAUGCAAGUCGAACGGAAAUGCCCUGCUUUUGUGGGGUGCUCGAGUGGCGAACAGGUGAGUAACACGUGAGUAACCUGCCCUUGACUUUGGGAUAACUUCAGGAAACUGGGGCUAAUACCGGAUAGGAGCUCCUGCUGCAUGGUGGGGGUUGGAAAGUUUCGGCGGUUGGGGAUGGACUCGCGGCUUAUCCGCUUGUUCGUGGGGUAGUGGCUUACCAAGGCUUUGACGGGUAGCCGGCCUGAGAGGGUGACCGGCCACAUUGGGACUGAGAUACGGCCCAGACUCCUACGGGAGGCAGCAGUGGGGAAUAUUGCACAAUGGGCGGAAGCCUGAUGCAGCAACGCCGCGUGCGGGAUGACGGCCUUCGGGUUGUAAACCGCUUUCGCCUGUGACGAAGCGUGAGUGACGGUAAUGGGUAAAGAAGCACCGGCUAACUACGUG